rnacentral:rRNA from 1 species
GAUGAACGCUAGCGGCAGGCCUAAUACAUGCAAGUCGAACGGGACCCAGAUCAAAGCUUGCUUUGGUCUGGUGAGAGUGGCGCACGGGUGCGUAACGCGUGAGCAACCUACCCUUGUCAGGGGGAUAGCCCGGCGAAAGUCGGAUUAAUACCGCAUGACAUCAUUGAGAGGCAUCUUUCGAUGAUCAAAGAUUUAUCGUACAAGGAUGGGCUCGCGUGACAUUAGCUAGUUGGUAAGGUAACGGCUUACCAAGGCUGCGAUGUCUAGGGGCUCUGAGAGGAGAAUCCCCCACACUGGUAAUGAGACACGGACCAGAAUCGUACGGGAGGCAGCAGUAAGGAAUAGUAGUCAAUGGACGGAAGUCUGAACCAGCCAUGCCGGGUGAAGAAGGACGGCCCUAUGGGUUGUAAACUGCUUUUAAACGGGAACAAACGUCGGUACGUGUACCGGUCUGAGUGUACCGUAAGAAUAAGGAUCGGCUAACUCCGUG